rnacentral:rRNA from 1 species
CACCAGCUAAGGUCCCAAAAUAUAUGUUAAGUGGAAAAGGAUGUGGCGUUGCCCAGACAACUAGGAUGUUGGCUUAGAAGCAGCCAUCAUUUAAAGAGUGCGUAAUAGCUCACUAGUCGAGUGACACUGCGCCGAAAAUGUACCGGGGCUAAACAUAUUACCGAAGCUGUGGAUUGUCCUUUGGACAAUGGUAGGAGAGCGUUCUAAGGGCGUUGAAGCAUGAUCGUAAGGACAUGUGGAGCGCUUAGAAGUGAGAAUGCCGGUGUGAGUAGCGAAAGACGGGUGAGAAUCCCGUCCACCGAUUGACUAAGGUUUCCAGAGGAAGGCUCGUCCGCUCUGGGUUAGUCGGGUCCUAAGCUGAGGCCGACAGGCGUAGGCGAUGGAUAACAGGUUGAUAUUCCUGUACCACCUAUAAUCGUUUUAAUCGAUGGGGGGGACGCAGUAGGAUAGGCGAAGCGUGCGAUUGGAUUGCACGUCUAAGCAGUAAGGCUGAGUAUUAGGCAAAUCCGGUACUCGUUAAGGCUGAGCUGUGAUGGGGAGAAGACAUUGUGUCUUCGAGUCGUUGAUUUCACACUGCCGAGAAAAGCCUCUAGAUAGAAAAUAGGUGCCCGUACCGCAAACCGACACAGGUAGUCAAGAUGAGAAUUCUAAGGUGAGCGAGCGAACUCUCGUUAAGGAACUCGGCAAAAUGACCCCGUAACUUCGGGAGAAGGGGUGCUCUUUAGGGUUAACGCCCAGAAGAGCCGCAGUGAAUAGGCCCAAGCGACUGUUUAUCAAAAACACAGGUCUCUGCUAAACCGUAAGGUGAUGUAUAGGGGCUGACGCCUGCCCGGUGCUGGAAGGUUAAGAGGAGUGGUUAGCUUCUGCGAAGCUACGAAUCGAAGCCCCAGUAAACGGCGGCCGUAACUAUAACGGUCCUAAGGUAGCGAAAUUCCUUGUCGGGUAAGUUCCGACCCGCACGAAAGGCGUAACGAUUUGGGCACUGUCUCAACGAGAGACUCGGUGAAAUCAUAGUACCUGUGAAGAUGCAGGUUACCCGCGACAGGACGGAAAGACCCCGUGGAGCUUUACUGUAGCCUGAUAUUGAAAUUCGGCACAGCUUGUACAGGAUAGGUAGGAGCCUUUGAAACGUGAGCGCUAGCUUACGUGGAGGCGCUGGUGGGAUACUACCCUAGCUGUGUUGGCUUUCUAACCCGCACCACUUAUCGUGGUGGGAGACAGUGUCAGGCGGGCAGUUUGACUGGGGCGGUCGCCUCCUAAAAGGUAACGGAGGCGCUCAAAGGUUCCCUCAGAAUGGUUGGAAAUCAUUCAUAGAG